UUUUGCCAAUAGCUUUGCGAUUCUUGCUCAGAGGCCUACGCAAAUUUGUAGAAAGUGUAUGGAGAGGCGUGUAUGAUCCGCACACAAGUGUACCUGUAGUUCAGAC